rnacentral:rRNA from 1 species
AGGCUUAACACAUGCAAGUCGAGCGCCCCGCAAGGGGAGCGGCAGACGGGUGAGUAACGCGUGGGAAUCUACCUUUUGCUACGGAAUAACGCAGGGAAACUUGUGCUAAUACCGUAUGUGUCCUUCGGGAGAAAGAUUUAUCGGCAAGAGAUGAGCCCGCGUUGGAUUAGCUAGUUGGUGGGGUAAAGGCCUACCAAGGCGACGAUCCAUAGCUGGUCUGAGAGGAUGAUCAGCCACAUUGGGACUGAGACACGGCCCAAACUCCUACGGGAGGCAGCAGUGGGGAAUAUUGGACAAUGGGCGCAAGCCUGAUCCAGCCAUGCCGCGUGAGUGAUGAAGGCCCUAGGGUUGUAAAGCUCUUUCACCGGAGAAGAUAAUGACGGUAUCCGGAGAAGAAGCCCCGGCUAACUUCGUGCCAGCAAGCCGCGGUAAUACGAAGGGGGCUAGCGUUGUUCGGAAUUACUGGGCGUAAAGCGCACGUAGGCGGAUCGAUCAGUCAGGGGUGAAAUCCCAGGGCUCAACCCUGGAACUGCCUUUGAUACUGUCGAUCUGGAGUAUGG